AUUUAUAUUAUGCAUAGAUUGCUAAUUUGUCCUCCAGAUGCAUCGUCACCGGCGCUGUGACGUAAUGUGUGAUGGACUAUUAACAUGCACUCGUGCAUUUCAUGCUCGUGGAUUGUAGACUAUUCUGUACCUGCUUUGGAUCACAAAGAAAAUUUGCUCUGUCUCCAAUUUUGAAAAUUUCUUAAUUUAUAAAAGAAUACAUAGUAGAAACCCCACAAAGCGUAUUAAUGAAAGAGGUUUUUUUUCUAGCUCCCAGAGUUGAUGCACAGUGAAGAGCUUGCUGGUGCAGGAAGAUUACAAAUAUUUCUUCUUCAAAAUAUAGGAAUAUUACUUGGGUUUAUACUCAUGCUUUUAAUUGCAUAUUUUGAGGAAGACCUUGUCAUAUCCUGGUAAAAAAUUUUCUGGACAACCCAAAACGCAGAUAUAGAUGUAUAGAAUAUCAUGUCAUUCAUGUGAUUUAUAUGAAAAAGUUAUAUACAUUGAGGGGCCGAUUACUUGGAGCACUUUCAACCCCGGAGUUGAACUCAGCCAUGUUAAGUUACCGGGUUGAAUUUUUUUUGCGAUUACAUGGACGAUUUCAACCCGGCGAUUUCAACCCCGGGUUGAAAUGCUAUACGUUCCUGGAAGUUAAAAAAGCGGCUCCAUAGAGUCCAUUUUGUUUUCUUGUAAUAAAUAGUCACUAUACCACGCAUGCUUGAAUAACUGAUGAAUAAUUUCAGCCCUGGUUUGAAACGAUUACAUGACAUAAUUUUCAACCCAGGGCCGAGUUCAACCCGGGGUUGAACUCGGUUCUGGGUUGAAAAUUUUGUCAUGUAAUCGCGUGUUUGAUUUUGAUAGAGUUUUGUAUUACAACAGACAGGGCUGAAAUUUCAACCCGGUCAAUAGGGCUGAGUUCAAGCCCCGGGUCGAAAAUGCUCUUUGUAAUCGGUCCCUGAAAAUAUUUUAAUUACGUAAGGUGUUUUGUCCGUGCUCAAUAUAAUGUAAGGUAUUAAGCCACGGUCAAACGAGGAUGCAUGUGAGCUGAUGACAGACACGCAUUGUUACAGGGGGCAAGCAGUAAAUUAAGAUUUGGCGUUUGAAGUUUACGUUUGGCGUAUAAAUUUCAUGCUUUAACGACUACAAGCCCUCGUAGCAGUUCAAGCAUGAAAUUUAUACGCCAAACGUCAACUUCAAACGCC